GACGAACGCUGGCGGCGUGCCUAAUACAUGCAAGUCGAACGAACCGCGACUAGGUGCUUGCACUUGGUCAAGGUGAGUGGCGAACGGGUGAGUAACACGUGGGUAACCUACCUCAUAGUGGGGGAUAACAGUCGGAAACGACUGCUAAUACCGCAUAGGACAUGGGAUCACAUGAUUCUGUGAGGAAAGGUGGCGCAAGCUAUCGCUAAGAGAUGGACCCGCGGUGCAUUAGCUAGUUGGUAGGGUAACGGCCUACCAAGGCGAUGAUGCAUAGCCGACCUGAGAGGGUGAUCGGCCACAUUGGGACUGAGACACGGCCCAAACUCCUACGGGAGGCAGCAGUAGGGAAUCUUCCGCAAUGGACGCAAGUCUGACGGAGCAACGCCGCGUGAGUGAAGAAGGUCUUCGGAUCGUAAAGCUCUGUUGUUAGAGAAGAACAGCGCAUAGAGUAACUG
rnacentral:rRNA from 1 species